rnacentral:misc_RNA from 1 species
AAGUCGUAACAAGGUUUCCGUAGGUGAACCUGCGGAAGGAUCAUUAACACUUUUUGAAAGAUUUCAUUUUAAAUGAAAUUCUUUACUUUUACCCACAUUUUUGGAUGAAUUAUUUCUUUUUUAUUCUUUUUAUCAUUUUUAUACCCAAAUACUAUAUUAUUUCUAACAUUUACACAAAAAGUUUAAGAAAAACAUAAAAAACAACUCUUAACAACGGAUAUCUAGGCUCUC